UGAAGAUUCUGCACAUUAAUUCAUAGCAAUCUAGAUGUGUUCACACUCUUGUUUGGUCAGCCCCUUACCACAUUGAAUCAUGGUUGGAACAACAGAAGUGAGGAUGUGUGACUUGAGGCUAUGUCCUGAAAAGCACUAUGGCUUCCCUUUUGGCCUUCUGCAUUGUUUGCUACAGAGGAAGCAAACAAGUAUACAGACAGUGUACUGUAAAUAUGUUCAAUCAGCUCAAUUAAAAAGCCCCCUGUGGGAAAGAAUUGAGGACUCUGGCCUCAGCCCAACUUGUCAUUCAUGUGAAUGAGCCAGUCUGGAGGUAUGGGAAGAACAAAUGACCAUCAGUUGUUCAUCAUUGAAACUGAGUGAUAGGCACAGGGUUGUUAAUUGUACCAUUUUUCCUACUUUUAAAUAUGUUCAAAAAUUUCCAU